ACCCAGAGUACCCAGGCAUUGAGAUCUGCUGGAGAAGCUCCUGUCAUGGUGUCACCAUCUUCUGAGCCCUGUUUGGUUUGUCGUGGUAUGCUUUCCUUCAAUAGCCCAGAUGGUCAAGUGUUUCUGCUGUCUAAGCCAGAAAGGAAGAACAAACAGAGUGACAGACACAGGUGCGCCUUCCAUGGUGCCUGAGGCCCA